CGUUGCAAUCAUACCAGCACUAAUGCACCGGAUCCCAUCAGAACUCCGCAGUUAAGCGUGCUUGGGCGAGAGUAGUACUAGGAUGGGUGACCCCCUGGGAAGUCCUCGUGUUGCAACCC
rnacentral:rRNA from 1 species